rnacentral:sRNA from 1 species
CUCUACUCUAUGGUAAAUGAGCUUUUUUUGGGCUUUGAUUUUGCGUUUGCGGACCAACCCGUUCUGUCUCGUGGUUUUUAAAACGGUAAAAAAAAGCUCAAAGUGCCAGUUCAGCUCAUUCGCUUUAUUACUCAAUAAACAUAUUGAGAGAGAUGCAAGCCAAAGCGCAAGCGCUGGGAGCAUACCAAAUAAAAUUGUUGUGGUUCGUAAAUCCGAGCAGCUCAGCGUGAGCUCCAUUGGCAAGUGGAACUCUGAUGAUGUGGAAUGUUUUCGUUGCUAUCGCCAGGAUAUUUCCAAAUAUUAUGGGAGAUAAUGGUUGCUAUGCUAGACGUGAUCAUAAUCGAGCUGCAGACGCAUCCCACACACUGGACAAAACCAUUGUGCGAAGAUUUUCUGCACUUGCGCGACAGCAACGGUGCUUCAAGCUGACCCUAACCAACUCUUGGAAUCGGGUUUUUUUUUUUUGGGAACGAAGUAACCGAGUGACUCUUAAGUGUGGACAUUAUUUGAUAUGCAUUAAAAUAAAGUCUUAUCUUUAGGUGAAUGAUAAUAAAGAUUGCUCGCACUA